rnacentral:rRNA from 1 species
UAAGGAAUAUUGGACAAUGGACGAAAGUCUGAUCCAGCCAUGCCGCGUGCAGGAUGACAGCCCUACGGGUUGUAAACUGCUUUUAUACAGGAAGAAACACUCCGACGUGUCGGAGCUUGACGGUACUGUAAGAAUAAGGAUCGGCUAACUCCGUGCCAGCAGCCGCGGUAAUACGGAGGAUCCAAGCGUUAUCCGGAAUCAUUGGGUUUAAAGGGUCCGCAGGCUGUUUUUUAAGUCAGAGGUGAAAUCCUGCAGCUCAACUGUAGAACUGCCUUUGAUACUGGAAAACUUGAGUUAUUGUGAAGUGGUUAGAAUGUGUGGUGUAGCGGUGAAAUGCAUAGAUAUCACAC